rnacentral:lncRNA from 1 species
AUGGAACACUCUGCUUGUUUGAAAAUGAAAGUGGAGACGCUGAGGGGCUUGUUAAACGACCGUCUGACGGCGGUGGUGGAAGAGAUCUGCGGCCUGUUUCUAAUUACGAUAGCGGAGUUGGAGGAAACCCGCCCCCGUUCCAACGUGGCAUGGCCGCAACAGGAGCGACCGCAGGUCCCGUCGCCUGCUUUAAGUGACGGAGGACGGUUGCGCCACGGAGAGACUGAGAGUGUGUUGGCAAUUAAACAAGAGCAGCAACAGAAGAGGUUCAUUUUGGACCAGAAAGCCGGGGAGCCCCUUUACAUUAAAAAGGAAAUGGAGGACCCUGGGAGCAUUUUGGAGGAACAAUGUGUUGAACAACCGAAUUAUCCAUUCAUUUUAACUGACAUCCAACAGGCAACAACUACAAACCAAUCUUUUUCUAAGCAGCAAGAGCAAAGAUCCAUUCGGAAAGACAAAACCCCAAGACCUCCACACUGUAACGAGGACCAGGAGACACGUGGCACCCUGAGUGGAUAUGUGAAGGGGGCUGAAGAAAACAUCAAUUCAGAGUGUCCAAGCAGCAGCAGCAGCUCAGCUCAACAGAUGGAGGUUGAUGGAGAAAACUGUGAUACAGCAGCUUUGGGGUCAGGUAGUGGGAAGACCUCAAACUCUUCUGAGUAUGAUACUGAAGACAGUGAUGAUGAUAUUUGGAAUAGAACACCUGCAUAUCAGUCCAGUUUAAAAAACGAUCUUGGAUCAGAACCAAACAAGUUGGAUUUAAAAGCAGUUACAGAUCUAGAGCCAGACUCAUCUGAACCAGAGACAGAAGAUAGUGACGAUGAAGAUCGGCAUUGCAGCGGGAAACGUCCGUCAGGUCUAACAACUGUAGAACCUGCAGAGGUUCCUGAAAGUCCUUCCAAGUCCUCUUGUCAAACAUCGUUGAGUUUGUCUAUUCAUAGUGAGAGUGAUCAACUCAAGCAGCAGGUAGGGAAUAAAACACGCUCGCAGAAGGCACCUUUAACUCAAUCAAAAUUAUGUUUGGCUGCAAACUUGAGCGAACCCUCUAGCGCCCAAACAAAGUUAAACAGCCCAGCAUCUAGGAAAAGUAAUCGCAGCACAUCUCUAAAGAAAGACAGGACAAAAAAGCUGGAAGAAAAACUCUUUCGGUGUUCUGUUUGUGGUCAGACAUUCGAAAAGAACGCGUAUUUUCUCUUACAUAUGAAAGCACAUAAAGCAGAACGACGGCGCAAGACAGCUCAUUCUGGAGGCAGCAGUUAGUAGCUCAGGUGCAGUCAAAGCUAAUCGCAAAUAAAUAUAACAUCUGAAAUAGUGUAGGUAAUAGU